AAUGAUGGAGGUGCAGGUAUUUCCUGAGGAUUAAUGACCAGCUGGGAGGAACCGGUGGCCCUUGGCUCUGCCUCCCAGCCAGCCAUUAAUUCCAAGGAAAUGUCUUUUGCUGAGGUCGUU
rnacentral:pre_miRNA from 1 species